GUUCUCGUUUCGCAGCACAUACACUAAAACUGGAACGAUACAGAGAAGAUUAGCAUGGCCCCCUGCGCAAGGAUGACAUGCAAAUUCGUGAAGCAUUCCAUAUUUUA
rnacentral:snRNA from 1 species